GGACUACUGGGGUUUCUAAUCCCGUUUGCUCCCCUGGCUUUCGCUCAUCAGCGUCAAUACCGGUCCAGGAUGCCGCCUUCGCCACCGGUGUUCCUCCAGAUAUCUACGCAUUUCACCGCUACACCUGGAAUUCCGCAUCCCUCUCCCGGAUUCAAGCCAACCAGUAUCCGACGCAGUUCCCAGGUUAAGCCUGGGGAUUUCACGUCGGACUUAGUUGGCCGCCUACGAGCCCUUUACGCCCAGUAAUUCCGAACAACGCUCGCACCCUCUGUAUUACCGCGGCGGCUGGCAC
rnacentral:rRNA from 1 species